AUCACAGAGAUUUACAUAAAUAAUAUCUCCCGGGUUGAUUCAGCUGACCUGGCUGGCUAGGGAGGUGUCCCCUUCCUCCCUCAUAGCUCCAUGUGUGUCCCUUCUGAAGCUGCGUGCUUGGUCGCUCGGUUGAAAAGGACGACCACCCCCGAUAGAGGAGGACCGUUUCCUCAGUCAAGGGUAUACGAGUAGCUGCGCUCCCCUGCUAGAACCUCCAAACGAGCUCUCAAGGCAAAUAAUAUCACUCUCAUAUAUAAAUUAGAAAACUGAAGACUCAGAAGCUCAAGGUCAUGUUACAAGUACACAGUAGAGUGCAGAUUUUAGCAUAGCAUGCCUGAUUAU
rnacentral:snRNA from 1 species